UAGUGUUCCAGCUCUUUUAGAAUUUUUCUAGGAGUUUUCACCAGAAAACCCA
rnacentral:snRNA from 1 species